rnacentral:lncRNA from 1 species
UAGAAAUAAAUUGUACGAGGUCUCCCAUUAAUUGAGGGAUUCUGAUUUCAAACGGGCAAUAAUUAAAGAAAGGGGUCAAUCAAACAAUUUUCCAAAGCAGUACAAGAGGGGUAAAUACAUAAAGGUCUAUAUAAGGACAAGGUUUGACAGCACACACUUUGUGCAAGUAAGGAAAGGGAAUCCGUUAACAACCAACAAAUCCAAAUUGCAGGUUUUGUACGAAUGAACCAAGUCGGGAAAAGAGAGGAAAGGUUUUAUUUAAGGAAAAUCAGUAAUAAUCGAUCUAACCUAGAAAAAAGAUUCUGAAUCAAUCAUAAGUUGGAAAGCCUUUUGAAGAAAGGUAGAACACACAUAUAAAAGCAUAUAAACUAACUUAAACAAGAAAGAACUGUCAUGCUAAUCAGAAGAGUCUAGUAUAGAAGAGUUCAGAGUCAUAAACAAAGAGGUUCAAUUCAGUACAUAGACUCAGAAUGAAUUUGAGAGAGUCGAGGGUUCCAAAAACAGAACCCUAUUCCAAACACAAGGUCAAACUUGCCAAAACCCCCAAAUUCUAGGGUUUCUAAGUUGAAUCAAAUACAGAGACGAGGAGCCAAGUAAUUGAACAAACUCUAAGAUCUCUUUCAGAGACUCAUGAGAAAAAAA